GCGCUACCUGAAGGGACAGCCAGCCGAGCUUCAUGUGCUCACUCAGGCCCUUCAAACCCGGAGGCAAGAUGCCAGACCAUCAUGCUCUAACCUGGGAAAUCAAGCCCAGUUUCCUCGAAGAGCUAAAGAUUUAAGUUCAUCUUCAGAAUCCAGUGAAUCAGUGUCCUAAGAACAACGCCAGGAGGCAUUGUAGAGGACAAAAUCUCUCAGUGCUGUUGGAACUCCUGGCAUAGUUGAUACUGGGCACAGCUCUCAUGGCUUCAGCCCUUUCUCUGCCUAUAGAUAGCUCCCUCUCUCUAGCCCUCAGACACUGGCCAUCUCCAUUUUUUCUCUCCACAAUUCCUCCCUUUUGAUAGCUUGGUCUCAACAGCCAUCAGACCCUGCCCAUUUCCUUAUUUUAUGUCCCAGCUUAUCCCUUUGUUUCACCUUGCAUAAAUAAACAGUUUGGCUUCUUCA